rnacentral:lncRNA from 1 species
GUCAUAGUCAUAUACUUUAUGAUUUUCAUAAUAAUCUGGUGACAUUUAGAAAUAAAUUAUUAUUGUCCUCUUUAAAAUAGAAAGAAAUUACAAUUAAGGGUCUAGACUGUAGAAUACUAGCAAUCAAUCUAUAUGCUUAUAUAGACACCAACCCACAACACACAUGCACAUACCUCCCCACACACACCUUCAAAUAGGUGUUUACAAGCAAAUAGGAGAUUUAUCAAGCACUUCCACUUUACCACCCACCCCAAAGGCUGUACUGAUACUGAAUAAGUAAGAUCUGCCUUUUCCCCUGCUUUACAGAUAUCCCAUGUUAUCCCUGGGUAAUUACUGUUUCUAAAGUAUGUUUCCAUGGGUUCUUUCACAACACGAACUAUGUGCUUCAAGGUCACGUACUUCAUGUAAUCUUUCUUGCACAACUUUUUACAAGCUAACUUCAUUUUAAAGUCAGAGAUAAGGACAAAAGAUAACUAAUGCUUCUUUAAAAUAUACUCAGCCCUCUUUUUUGGAUGAAGAAAAGAACUUGUCCUUAUAGCAGAAUGUUUCAGAAUGUAAUUUUAACCUGGGAUUGUAUGAUGAGAAAUCUUGACUUUCAUCUUGCUGACUGCUCUUGGGCCUUCAAUAUUUGAUAAUUAAUAGAAAAUAAAAGUAGUGCUAUGAAUACUAAGAAUGUAAGGAUGCAAUAAUAAUUUUAGAAAGCUGCACAAAAGUAAUGAUCAUCAAAAAUAUUGUGUUAGAAAGAAAGAAACAUCCAAAGAAUUACUGUGAUUUGUUACAGGAAUUCCAAAUUUAACCCUUAUAUGAACCUGGACAACAAUAACUGUUUUUGUACUUAUGGGCUGUACGAAGAUAUGCAAAACUCAAAAGAGCAUGCAAUAGUUCUUGACCAGCUGGUUUCAGCAAGCUCACCUUACAUAAUGUGUCUGCGAUAGUAUUAUUAAAUCAAGCAGUGAGGAACCUUCACUUACAAGCUUCUACCAGACAGAAAACACCAGAAGUAGGGUCAUUGCAAUGGCUGCUUUGUAAUUCAUUAUGAGCAAGCAGGCAUAAGAUCUAGGAAAAGAUUCAUUGCAAUACACACACACACACACACACAUUUAUGUGUAUAUAUAUAUGCAAAUACAUAGUAUACAUAAACACACAUAUGCAUAUAUAUACAUAUGCAUAUAUACACGAAUACAUAAAAUUCUUAUUCUAGAAAGUAGCCAAUGAGACAACACACAAAC